rnacentral:lncRNA from 1 species
GCGAUUCAAAGAUAAAUUCACUUGCACAGUAAUAAAUUAAAAGUGACUUUAUAUCAUGCAGAAAACAUAUCACACACCAUUAAGACCUUUUUUGGGGCUAUUUUCUCAUAGAUUUAUUUCCAAAGGGAAUAAGCAGUUACAUUAUUAGUACAUAAUAUGCAAACACACACACAAAUUCUCAAGUUCCAUAUAUUGUAGGUCCAUAACUUCAGUAGUCAAUAGCUAGGCAUGGCUGAAAUAUGUUUUUUAUUUAUUUGUUAUAUAAUCCCUAGUUAGUACUUGGAACUUCACUCUCUUCCUUCUCAUAAGCCAGGCUGCUACUUCCCAAACCUGCGUAAAAGAAAUUUUACACUAUCAGUUCAAUUUUAGCUUACAGAUUAUAUCUUUAAAUUUUUCAGAUUACUAGUUUCACUUAUUAUGAACAGUUACCUGUAGUUAUUUAGCAACGACGUUCAUCAUCACUGCUGUCGCUACAGUCGCUGCCACUGCCGCUACCGUAACCGCCCUUUCUCCUGCGGUGUUGUUUCUUGUAAGUGGUGGUGCAACCAGAAGCUGCCCCCAUUCCGUAGCCACCAUGUCCAUGAUGUCCCUCAUGUUUCUUUCCAAAGCCCAUAACAUGGCCCAAAGCGCCCGAGCCCAUUCCACUGAACCCGGGUUUCUGCAUGUGAGUGUUGUGGCCCGUGCCAUAGCCCAUCAUUCCAUGAAUGUUGUGGCCCGACCCAUAGCCCGUGCCAUGGCCCAUCAUGGGCACACCGGGGUUAGUGCUGCCAUAUCCGUUACCUAGUCCAUGUUGAUGGCCGUGACCAGUACCAUAACCCGUCAUUCCAGGGUUGGUUCCGUAACACCUUUCUUUCUCAUAGAAAGUUUGUUGGUAACCCGAGUUCGAGUAGUUAGUUGGUUUUUGGUAAGUGCCUGAGGAUUUAUCAUAGUAAUCAAACUCCUUACCUUCUUCUUUGUAGCAUUGCAUUGAAGCCAUGGUUAAUGUUUAAAUGGAUGUUUGAGAUGAGUAUUUUGUUUGGUUUUUUGGCUGGCUUGAGGAAAAUGAAAAGGGGGAUGAUAGGUAUUUAUACAAGUUAUAGCUUAGUGGGAUUCUCUCAUUUCCUCCAUUAUUUGAUGAUAUUUUUGGAUCUUUUCCUCUUCCUAUUAUAAAUUGCCAAGGGCCAAAAAGAACUUAUUCUUGUGGGAUAAUAUGAAUAAUAUGAUAGAGAUAUAUUCCUAUCCUUGUUCAAUUAUUUUUAUUUUGAACGGUCGGAAAUGAGUGUCAUACUAUAUAGGCUCAAGCGUGGUCAGAUGAAUACCUUUUACCGAAAAAUUAUAUCGUAUAUAUUAAAUUAUGUAAUAUUUAGUUAUAUAUAUUAAAGCGUUUUAUCUAAACUAUAUAAGUAGUACUUAUUUUCGAGAAGAAAAAUAUCAGCUAACUUACAUGUAAGUCAACUAUAGUAUUACAUUUGCCACUUGUCUGGUCGAAUAUUUUGUACCACAAACUGGACAAAUAUUUUUCAAGAUACUAUACGUACUGAUAAUAUUAAGUGAUAUAAAGUUAUUCAUCUUCUUGUUGAGGAAGACCAUUUUGAUCAAUAUCUGUAAUUUUCUAGAAUGGAAUAAAAAUACACCUCAUAGCUUUUCGGUACUCGAAUGAUCAGGGAGUGGAUACAUGUGUUCGGAACCAAAAUAUAAUUCUUUUAGACUUAAAAAAACUAAAAUAUAUAUAAAAAAGAACCGGUGACCAUAAUAUACAUUACGCCAUAAUAUAAGGCGCUAUACCUUAAUGACCGUUUGUCCAUUAAGAUAUAGUGCCCUAAUUUAAGGCGCUAUACGUGAACGUCAAAUGACCGGGAAGGCAUAGCGUCUUAAUAUAAUGCGCUAUAGGAUAGAGUCUUACAUUAAGGCGCUACACCUACAUAAAUUAUCGGCCCUUUUCCUUCCCCACCAAAAGAAUCUCCCCCCCNNNNNNNNNNNNNNNNNNNNNNNNNNNNNNNNNNNNNNNNNNNNNNNNNNNNNNNNNNNNNNNNNNNNNNNNNNNNNNNNNNNNNNNNNNNNNNNNNNNNNNNNNNNCUUUAAUUAAAAAUGAACAGCGGUCCUUCCCCUCCCCCUACCCCACAUUUUUAAGCAAAAAAAGCUCGAGUGGAGCUCAUCGGUCCCAAAAAAGUAUAAAUACUCAGUCCCACAUCUUAUUUAAGGCGUUAUCUCAUAGUGGUUUGCUCAUUUCGGCUCCAAAUCACCAAAUUUUCAAGUUUCCAAAAAAUUAAAAUCAAGGUAUUCCGACUUAAUUUUUGUUAAAACUCAUGUAUAAAAAAUGCCUAUUAGUUGUUUUUUAUGGUGCUCUAUGUUAUUUUGUGAUUAUUUUGCGAUUUAAUUAAUUUAUUAUUUUUUAUCCGGUUAUAUUAUUAGUGUGCUAAAAAAAUUAGUAAAAUAGAAAAGUUAUUAUCAGUCGUUAAAAAAAUAUUAAUUAGUUACUUUUUGUUGUGGUUUAUAUUUUUUAUGAUUGUUUUGUGAUUAAAUUAAUUUAUUAUUUUUAUCCGAUUUAGAUUAGUUAUUUGCUAAAAGACUAGUAAAAUAGAUAUGUGACUUACUUCCAUAGAGUGGUACCUUGUGCCUUAAUAUAGUGCUCGUAUUUGUAAUGUAAUGCCCUUUUAGCGUAGUACAAUGUAGUGCCCUUUACCGUAGUUUCAUUGUAGUUAUUGAAAUUAAUCAUUUAUGUACAUGUUAAAUCCAAAAAUAUCUCAAAAAAGUUGAUAGCUCAAACACAAACUCUCUCCAAUUUUAGUCGACAGACGUAAGAAAUAACAUGAGAAAACAAUAAUAUUUGUCAAACUAAGUAUUGUUAUAUGGAUAUUUAAUUAUUAAAUCAUGUAUAGUUAUGAAACUUAAUUAUUUAAUUUUAUUAUAGUAAAAAAUAGCUGAGUAACAAACAAACAUAUAAAAUAAUAAAACUAACAUAUAAAAUAAUAAAUAAAUAUAUAAAAUAAUAAAAUAACAUACAAAAUAAUAAGUUAAUAAACCUGUUGAAUGAUAAAUUGGGGAAAAUUUUUCAUCAUGAACACAAGAACAUUGAAUACUUUUGUGCAGUUGGGCCUCAAAUAUCGAGCCCAUAACUAAAAUGUGGUUCAUUUGGACUCAAACCAAAUAUUAUUAUAUGAAUAUUUAAUAAUUAAAUCCUGUAUAGUUAUGGAAAUUAAUUAUUUAAUUUUAUUAUAGUAAAAAAUAGGUAAGUAACAAACAAACAUAUAAAAUAAUAAAAUUAGUAUAUAUUAAUAAGCUAACAUGUAAAAUAAUAAAACAACAUAUAAAAUAACAAAUUAACACUUAAAAUAAGAAACAAACAUAUUAAAUAAUAAACAAACAUAUAAAAUAGUAAACUAACAUAUAGAAUAUUAAAGUAACAUAUAAAAUAAUAAACUAACAUAUAAAAUAUAAAAUAUAAAAUUAUAAUAUAAAAAAUGUAUCAACCUAAUUAACAAUAUAGUAAAAAUAUCGAAUAAAUUUUAUUAUUAAAGGUAUUGUAAUAUAUUUAAAUAUGUUAAGCAAUGAAAAAAAAAACUUUAAUUUAUAUUAUCCUAUUUAUAGUAGUCGUCAUGGAGGUUCUGCUUGUGCAUCCUGGACCUGCCUCACUAGAGCUAUUGUUACUACUGGCAGAGCAUAGGUCUUCGUACAUAUGAGAAGGGCAGUUAUUGGCCCAGAUGUUCCGUGCUAGAAGAGUAGACGAUAUGUGAGACUUUCUUGGGGGUCACCAUCUCCAUCCCCAUAUAAUCAGACGCCUUUAGGAUACAGGUUUUUAUAGGAUUAUUGAGAUAGGCCGAUUGCAGCUGGAUUAGUCAUUGAUCACGGCUUUGAUAAAGCGAUGGAGACCGGAGAUGCUCACAUUUCAUUUACCCAUUGACGAGGGUACUAUCACACUUCAGGGCGUUGAGGUUCUGUAUGGGCUGCCUGUUGAUGGUCAUCCUGUAGCUUUACCGCAUGCUAUCAGAGAUUAUAUACGAGUGCAGUACCUGGAGAUGUUGCAGCGGCUCAUCGGUUUCUAUCUAGUGGAUGCUGCUGCAUUGAGAGGGGCUAGUCGUCUGCAAUUGAUGCUCGUUCUGCUGCAUCUGUAACCGAUUCAUCCGGACAUUAUGAAUGAUACACCAGAUCUUCAUAUUAACUGGUACACGAUAUUGUUGAUGUUGCUUGUGUUUAGAGGGGUAUUAUUCCCGAACACUUCGAGAAACCUAGUCAGGUUGAGAUUUCUUCAUCAUCUUUAGCGGCUAGAUGAUUUACCUAGUUACAACUGGUGUGUAGCUAUUCUUGGUUACUUAUACAGGAAGAUAUGCCAGGGCUAGCAUGGGCACCCAGCACGACGUUGCCAGACUUUUGUCGAUGCUGCAUGUGAAAGCAUAGUCAAUUAUUUUCAUGAUUAUAACAUACAAAGUAAAAAUAUACCUUAAGGUUAAUCAGAUGGUAGUAUAUGCUAUGAUUCAGUCGUUGUGAACUUUCAAAGAGUUAUUUAUAUGUUAUAAGUGAACAGAGUUGACUUGAGGCUCAUUGGUAGGCUAACAUGGAUGUGUGUUUUGCACCGGGUCGAAUUUGUUGGUUUCGAGUUGCUAUUGCUAAGGGAUCUGCCACUCGAUUGUUGUUGAGCUUAUUCGUGUUGUGGGGUGAUUUAUAAGUUACUCUUCUUUGUUAAAAGGAGUUGCGAUUUGUUGGUUAUAUGCACAUAUGGUGCGGUUCUAUUUGAGCUUUAUAGCGGAAUUUGAGCGAGACAGUCAUUAGGGUGUUGCAUGAUUGAUUGCACAUUGGGUAUGUUAUCUCAGACUUUUAUGACAUUGUGUUAUUUACUUCUCCGUAGUUAUGGUGAUUUACUUGUGGUACUAGAUAUUGAAUUGCGGUGGUUGUUGAUUUUAGGUUAUAGUGACUUGAAGUAUUUCAUGUGUACCAGUGUUUGGAUAGGAUCCCACAUUGCGGUGAAGUUAUGCGGAAGUAUGAUCCUUCGAGUUAGAUUCGCGUGUUUUGGUUCUACGAGGUGCGAUGGGUUCUUAGCACCGUGGUAUGGUGGUACUAGUGAACGUGCGGUACAUCUCUCUUAUUUGAGUCAUUUUUCGUGAUUUAAGUAUAUUUGGGUCGUUGCUAUUUGGUGCACGGUUUGUGGAUUUAGAUCGUAUUGAUAUGUCAUGUCAUCAGAGUAGUCGUAUUGGAUGAGAUGAGGUCAUUGAACCUGGAAUGAAUGCUAUUAGAUUCGGUUUCACCAUGAUAGGAGGAUAAUCUCGGGAUUUGGCUUGGAAGUUUACUAUGGUCCUUGACAAAGGAGAGAGAGCUUCAUGAAUGGUUGAUCUGAGGGAUGGUUACAACUUUCUGCGUGUUUCCUUUGUUAUUGGCAGUAUACGAAAGUGUUUGGAAUGAGGCUUUGGUUAAAAAGAGGUUUAUUACUGGUAUUGGGUUAUUUGAGCAGUUGAUGUGAUUAGAAGUUAUCGCUUCAGGUGUUUGAGUUGUGUGGGAUAUCAUGUGAUUACAUCUAGGGAUACAAAUAUGGAUUGAUACAACUGGUUUGAACUUAGUAUAUAGGUGUGAGAUUCUGAUAUUAUAGAUAAGUAUGGAACUGGAAAUUUGGUCCAAGGUUCAUGGGUUUGGUUGGAUUGUGAAAUUUCAGUUAUGUUGCUUUAUCAGACCUAUAUGGUAUAGAGUGACAUGAGUUUGUUAAUGCAAUUUCUCCUUCCUUAGACGUUGCUUUAUUUCAUUCUAAUUUAUGAAGUUGGGACUAUAAGUCAAUUUUUAAAUAUAUUGUAAAUUAUAUAUAUUUUUUAAAUAAUAGACUUAAAAAAAGUUACUAGUGCACUUCGCUCUUGAAUUAAUGAGUCACUCGUGGUGAUUCAAAGAUAAAUAUUUUUGGGAUUAUUUUCUAAUAGAUCUAUUUCCAAAGGGAAUAAGCAGUUACAUCAUUAGUACAUAUAAAUACGCCAACACACACAAAAAUUCUCAAGUUCCAUAUAUAGUAGGUCCAUAAUUUUAGUAGUCAAUAGCUAGCCAUGGCUGAAAUGUGCUUUUUAUUUAUUUGUUGUAUAUUCAUCAUCGCUACUGCCGCUGCCACUGCCGCU